rnacentral:lncRNA from 1 species
AGGGCACAGGGAGUCCUGCCCUUCUGCGGAGUGUUCAGGGACAGAAACCCAGGAGCUGAAGAGAGUCGAGCUCUCCCGGAAGCCGCCCAGAUGCCCAGGGAACACGGGCAGCAGGAAUGACACGGCACAGAGCUCUGGCCACAGGAGACUGGCUUUGACUCUGACUAGGAAGGGCAGUGCCAAGGACAAAAACGCAGUCUGCCGGGAAAGCAGGUCUGUUCACCGACCGCGGAAGGAGAAAUCCUCGUGGUGGCCGGGAAAGCGAGGCCCGCACUGCUGCAGGAAGCACGUCUCCCACCUGCCCAGGCCGGCGGCAGCACACAGCGCAGGGAGAAGCCGGACAGGCAGGUCCACAGGUGACAGCAGUCAUCCCCGCGCCGCGGGCCAGCAAGGUCCAGGCUGCCGGACUCACGGUCCUGGGAAGCAUCUUCAAAAGCAGCCGAGGACAUCAAAUGUUGCCAUAACUGCCAAAGAUAAAAUACCAAACCGGCAACAUCUCACCGCCCAAGAAUCUAGUAUCUUCCUCUGCCUGGAAUUCUGCCAAAAUUGUGCUUAAUGUUUUUGGGCAUGGAAAUGCCUCUCCACAAUUCUCCCUUUCAAAUCCCUUCUGAGGCUCCAGGAUUAAAGGAGAAGGCACUUCAUUUAUUAAAUGCAAUUCUAAAG